UCCCUUGUAGCUUAGUUGGUAAAGAAUCUGCCUGCAAUGCAGAAGAACUGGGUUAAAUUCCUGGGAUGGGAA
rfam:TPA: Bos taurus chromosome 6, whole genome shotgun sequence.